AGUGAACGCUGGCGGUAGGCCUAACACAUGCAAGUCGAACGGCAGCACAGUAAGAGCUUUCUCUUACGGUUGGCGAGUGGCGGACGGGUGAGGCAUACAUCGGAAUCUACUUUUUCUUGGGUGAUAACGUAGGGAAACUUACGCUAAUACCUCAUACGACCUACGGGUGAAAUCAGGGGAUCUUCGGACCUUGCGCGUUUGAAUGAGCCGAUGUCGGAUUAGCUAGUUGGCGGGGUAAAGGCCCACCAAGGCGACGAUCCGUAGCUGGUCUGAGAGGAUGAUCAGCCACACUGGAACUGAGACACGGUCCAGACUCCUACGGGAGGCAGCAGUGGGGAAUAUUGGACAAUGGGCGCAAGCCUGAUCCAGCCAUACCGCGUGGGUGAAGAAGGCCUUCGGGUUGUAAAGCCCUUUUGUUGGGAAAGAAAAGAAGCAGGUGAAUACCCCGCUGUUCUGACGGUACCCAAAGAAUAAGCACCGGCUAACUUCGUG
rnacentral:rRNA from 1 species